UCUUAAAAUUUUCAUUCAUUUGUACUAUUAAAAAUUAGCGUAGCUAAUGGAGUAAUCAAACAGUGACAUGUAAUAUGUCACGUGUACGUUAGUGUACAAAGAUCAAUUUUUAACUAUAGAUAUAAAUAAUUUUUUUAACA
rfam:Gossypium raimondii Chr10_contig_28, whole genome shotgun sequence.